UCUCCGUAGGUGAACCUGCGGAGGGAUCAUUACAGAGUUCAUGCCCUACCGGGUAGAUCUCCCACCCUAUGUUAUUAUUAUUUUGUUGCUUUGGCGGGCCGUUAGGCUCCGGCCCGACUACCGGCCCCGGCUGGUAAGCGCCCGCCAGAGGACCCAAAACCCUGAAUAUUAGUGUCGUCUGAGUACUAUAUAAUAGUUAAAACUUUCAACAACGGAUCUCUUGGUUUUG
rnacentral:misc_RNA from 1 species